AACGAACGCUGGCGGCAUGCCUAACACAUGCAAGUCGAACGAGACAUUCGGGUCUAGUGGCGCACGGGUGCGUAACGCGUGGGAACCUGCCCUUAGGUUCGGAAUAACUCCCCGAAAGGGGUGCUAAUACCGGAUAAUGUCUUCGGACCAAAGAUUUAUCGCCUUUGGAUGGGCCCGCGUUGGAUUAGCUAGUUGGUAGGGUAAAAGCCUACCAAAGCGACGAUCCAUAGCUGGUCUGAGAGGAUGAUCAGCCACACUGGGACUGAGACACGGCCCAGACUCCUACGGGAGGCAGCAGUGGGGAAUAUUGGACAAUGGGCGAAAGCCUGAUCCAGCAAUGCCGCGUGAGUGAUGAAGGCCUUAGGGUUGUAAAGCUCUUUUACCCGGGAUGAUAAUGACAGUACCGGGAGAAUAAGCUCCGGCUAACUCCGUG
rnacentral:rRNA from 1 species